GAUGAACGCUGGCGGCGUGCUUAACACAUGCAAGUCGAACGAUGAAGCCCAGCUUGCUGGGUGGAUUAGUGGCGAACGGGUGAGUAACACGUGAGCAACCUGCCCCUGACUCUGGGAUAAGCGCUGGAAACGGCGUCUAAUACUGGAUAUGUCCCGUCACCGCAUGGUGUGCGGGUGGAAAGAUUUUUCGGUUGGGGAUGGGCUCGCGGCCUAUCAGCUUGUUGGUGAGGUAAUGGCUCACCAAGGCGUCGACGGGUAGCCGGCCUGAGAGGGUGACCAGCCACACUGGGACUGAGACACGGCCCAGACUCCUACGGGAGGCAGCAGUGGGGAAUAUUGCACAAUGGGCGGAAGCCUGAUGCAGCAACGCCGCGUGAGGGAUGACGGCCUUCGGGUUGUAAACCUCUUUUAGCAGGGAAGAAGCGAAAGUGACGGUACCUGCAGAAAAAGCACCGGCUAACUACGUG
rnacentral:rRNA from 1 species